rnacentral:rRNA from 1 species
UACGGGGGGGGCAAGCGUUGUUCGGAAUUACUGGGCGUAAAGGGCUCGUAGGCGGCCAACUAAGUCGGACGUGAAAUCCCUCGGCUUAACCGGGGAACUGCGUCCGAUACUGGAUGGCUAGAGUUCGGGAGAGGGAUGCGGAAUUCCAGGUGUAGCGGUGAAAUGCGUAGAUAUCUGGAGGAACACCCGUGGCGAAAGCGGCGCGCUGGACCACUACUGACGCUGAGGAACGAAAGCUAGGGGAGCGAACAGG